UCUCCGUUGGUGAACCAGCGGAGGGAUCAUUACCGAAAUUACCUUCAAAACCCACUGUGAACCUUACCUCUUGCCGCGUUGUCUCGGCGGGAGGCGGUGUGCGUCGCGCGCCCUAGCGGGCCGCGCCGCUCCCGUCCCCGCCGGCAGCGCCAAACUCUAAAUGCACAGCGGACUGUACGUUCUGAUUUACAAAAAAAACAAGUUAAAACUUUCAACAACGGAUCUCUUGGUUCUG
rnacentral:misc_RNA from 1 species